GUUCCAUCUCCUCCGGCAGCUGUCCCGCAUCCACCUCCCGCUGCGACUCAGCACUUCCCAUUCCAAAGGAACUCGCAGCAGAGGAAGCUGUCCCUCUCAGGAGGCUGCAAGCUGGCAGGGCCCCGAGGACAGCCUGGUCCCCUAGCCAGGAAUACAGGUCAACCAGGAAAUGCCAGGCACCCAUCUGCCAGAAGCUCAGCUAGAGCAGCUUCCAAACCAACUCGUGGUCCACCAGCCCCGCUCAGCCAGCGCCUGCAGUUACCACUGCCCAGGCUCCCAGCCUGCUGCUCCUCCUGUCCCCUGGGAACACCAGGUGCCACUUGAGCCCGGUGAGGAGUGGGGCUUGGGGCUCCUGAGCAAGGAGUAGGUGGGCCAGCACUAAGUCAGCAUCUCCAGCACUCAGGCCAGGAAGGGACGCCGCAGCUCCUGCGGGCCGGGGAGGCAUACUUGACUCUUUUCAAACUGAGGGCUGCGGAGAUCCUCCCCUCGGCCCUGCAGCCUCCCCGCCCCCAGUCUCCCCAGGGCUCCGUCCAGGAACCUACCCAUAAGGCCAGGUGCAGCCCCUCUGCGGUCCAGCUCAGGUGUGAGCCCCGGCCCUGAAGCUCUGCACGAACAUCUGCACAUCGAGAAGACUUGACUCUCUUGCUGGGGCUCCAGGUGCGGCUUCCAGGUGCAGCCUUCCCAGCAGAGGCACCUCCCCUCCAGGCCGACAGCAAUCUCCACCCACAGCCCUCCACCAGGUUGGGUGUAGCAUCAGAUAAAGAAGCAGACUCUGUUGGCCCUGCCCUCAAGGAGUUGAAGAUUCCGCUGGACUUGGAGAGAUAUGAAAGGAUCAUUGAAAAACAAACAUAUGUGAAGAUACUAUGCCACAAAUACCAAGGAGAGCUGGCCAGGAUGGCUUGGAAGACAACAAAAAAUGGUAUGAAAGAUAAAAGAGGUCAGAGGCGAGUUGGAGGUAUCCACUUGAUGAAGCAGAAAUGAGAAGCCCUGAAUUAUGCCUCCCGCCUGCUCCCAGCCUUUAAGGAAUGUAACAGGACUUGCUUAGUUGCUUCUCUCACUCAUCCUUCCUUAGUAUCCAGGUCCAGUGAAUGGGCCACCUGAGACCUCACUCCAGGCCUCCCCUCAAAAGGAAGCUUCUGAUUCUGGCUUGGCAGCCGCUUUCAGAUACUCUGACUCAUCUAUGACAUCUCCUUUUCCCUUACAACGUGGCUGAGCACCUCAGACUCUACCCUCUGUGGUCUUGGGACUUCUUUAGACUGUAAUAGUGCCUGCACAUGCAGCCAGGGCGCCAAGUGUCAGAACUGGCCAGAACCAUUCACUUUCUGGCCCACAAUACAGAAGCCUCUUCCCUCCAGCUGUCAAACUUCCUUGUUCUCAUCCUUUAGAGUCAAAUCUUACCUCUCCCACACAACUUCCCAACCUAAGCAAAGGAAGCCUAGUCUCAAAGGUGUCCCCUCACCAACCUAGGGCAACUUCCCUCUCCUAUAACUAUGCAAACAGGAAACAUUUCCCUUUUGUAGAUGAUGAGUCACUAAAACAGAGAUGUGUCUUCUUUGUGGUCAGUCAGACCUCAAAGCAGAAGAGACCCCAAGAUCUAGGACAGAGGUGAUUUUAGUAAAAGGUCAGGGGGGGGAAAAAAACAGGGCAGCUUUCAAGGAUCCUCAGGUCACAUAUGCCCUUGACCUUCCAAAGUAACCCUCCCUGUAUAGUUACUAGGAUAAGUCUUUUUACUGAGAUAAAGAUAGCCAGCCUCAAAUAGCAGCAUCAUGUAAAAUAAGCCAUGUUCUUGGAAUUGUUAUAAAAGUAUGUUGAAAGGAGGAACUCCUGGAUGAAAGGAAGAUAUGGUGGAUGUCAAGAGCCUAAAAGAGAUGCUGGAGAGGAAGUAUCUAGCGUGGUCCAGCAGAGAGAGUGACCUGAGAGAGAGGGCACAGUUCCUGUUUGGCAGGCAGACAAGAGUGAUCCAAUAGGCCGCCAAAGCCUGAUGAAAAUACCUCUUAAGGACACCUGACUGUCUCGGCCCUGAUCCUGUAUUCAUCAAGCAAACUUCUAAUUUUAAUUACAUUUUCCAGUGACUCUGAUGCCAGUAAGUUGCCAGAAAACAGCAGGACAAGUAUUAUGAUCUGUGUGGCAAGGACACAUCCUGUUAUAAAUUGGUAAAUUUAACAUUCUGGUGUGCACCACUUUCCUGGGUCUUUGAAGAACAUGAUCCUAAGUGUGUUAAUUUGACUUUCCAGCCUCACAGAAGUGAGAGGAGACACGAGGCCAUGAUACCCCACCAAAAAGCAGAAAUACCAGGAGGUCCAGGUGGGAAGGGCCACUCCUGCCUGACUGGUUUUAACUCAAAGUUCAGCACUCUGUGGCAUGUUUUGUCAUAAAAUCCAGUCCUGGCACAAUGAGGGCAGGUUAUGUUGCUGCCAUCACACAGGACAUUUAUCACCUAAAUCCCUUUACUCAAUAUCAGAGAAGCCAUGACCUCUGUAAAGCCAUCUGCAAAGCAACAUGUAUGAAGUCACUGCAUAUUUUCACCAGCCCCAGGACCAGGGAAAUGUUAUCCAGACAAAAAGCCGUGAGAUGAGGACAAAUGUCUGUUCUGAACCUGUCCUCCUGUUUACAGCUCAAAAGCCUCAAUGCCACACAGUCAACACUCUGCAUGACAUUCAGAGCCCCCACGAAUCUGGAGGCCUCCGUGUUAUAUCACGAAGCCCACUCUGCCCACCCACCUGGUAUUCCUCAUGCCUGCCUUCUUCCUGGAAUGCCUCUCAACCUCUACCAGCCAAAAUCCUGCCCAUCCUCCUACGCCAGUUACCUCCAAUUGCCUCCACCGUGAAAGUUUCUCUAGCCCUGCACUGUCUGAUAAGAUAGCUGCAUACGGCUAUUUAAGUUAAAAUUAAAUACAAAUGGAAAUUCAGUUCCUUAGUCACACUGGCCACAUUCCAAGUAUCCAAGAGCCACAUGUGGCUGGAAGCUACUCUAUUGGAUGGCAGAGAUUUUAGAACAUUUCCAUCAUCACAAAGUGCUUUAGGACAGUGCCACUCUGGCCCCUCACCCUUAUCUUGCCCCACUGUCCCUUAUCUUCCCUGCACUUUGUAAGCCUCUCUUAGAACCUGCCAGUCUGUGCUUUGCCUUGUACAAAGGUGACUGUGUGCUCAUCUUUCUCCUCCACAGAUUAAAAAUUCCUCGAGGGCAGGGACUGGAUCUUAUUCAGCUUCAUAUGGAAGCAGUGUAGGCUGGAGCACCUCACACAUAAUAGAGGAUUAAAACAGUGUUUGCUGAACUGAA